UACAGAGGGUGCGAGCGUUGUUCGGAAUUAUUGGGCGUAAAGGGCGCGUAGGCGGUGCGGUAAGUCACCUGUGAAAUCUCCUGGCUUAACUGGGAGCCUGCAGGCGAAACUACCGUGCUGGAGUGUGGGAGAGGUGCGUGGAAUUCCCGGUGUAGCGGUGAAAUGCGUAGAUAUCUGGAGGAACACCGGUGGCGAAGGCGGCAUCCUGGACCACGACUGACGCUGAGGAGCGAAAGCCAGGGGAGCAAACGGG
rnacentral:rRNA from 1 species